CAAAUGACUCUCGGCAAUGGAUAUCUCGGCUCUUGCAUCGAUGAAGAACGUAGUGAAAUGCGAUACUUGGUGUGAAUUGCAGAAUCUCGCGAACCAUUGAGUCUUUGAACGCAAGUUGUGCCCGAGGCCUUGUGGUCGAGGGCACGCCUGCUUGGGCGUCAUGGC
rnacentral:rRNA from 2 species